UACGUAGGGGGCUAGCGUUGUCCGGAUUUAUUGGGCGUAAAGAGCGUGUAGGCGGCCAGGUAGGUCUGCUGUGAAAACUCGAGGCUCAACCUCGAGACGUCGGCGGAAACCAUCUGGCUAGAGUCCGGAAGAGGAGAGUGGAAUUCCCAGUGUAGUGGUGAAAUACGUAGAGAUUGGGAAGAACACCAGUGGCGAAGGCGGCUAUCUGGACGGUUUCUGACGCUAAGACGCGAAAGCGUGGGGAGCAAACAGG
rnacentral:rRNA from 1 species